UAGGGAAUCUUCCACAAUGGACGCAAGUCUGAUGGAGCAACGCCGCGUGUGUGAUGAAGGGUUUCGGCUCGUAAAACACUGUUGUAAGAGAAGAAUGACAUUGAGAGUAACUGUUCAAUGUGUGACGGUAUCUUACCAGAAAGGAACGGCUAAAUGCGUGCCAG
rnacentral:rRNA from 1 species